AAAUGCGCUGGAUUCGGGUGAAUCUCGUUCACCUGUAGAGUAAAAUCCAUAAUUAGCUAAAGACAACAUUUUUUUUUCUCUGUUAGAGAUAUUUACCCACUGGAAAUUGCCCAGAAAGCCUUUUCACAACUACUGUGAUCUACAGCUCCAAAAACCUUACUUUUAAUUAUUAAAUUAAUUAUCAUUAUAACUAAAAACGUACUAAUGGUUAUUUUUGUACUUCCAGCGCUUGUCCUUUGCUUCCUAACAGAUUACAGAUGGAAACUCUCAGGCUGAAGGUGUGAAAAGCAAAAAAAAUCCAACUUCCCGUUCAAUCUUUCUGGAGAAUUAUAAAAACAACACAAAAUUACCGCUGGAGGACCUGUUGGGGUGAAGGUGGUCCAUGACGGCAUGAAACUGAAGCAACCACCAUAGAAGUUGGAGAUGUUUUAGCCAUUUCUUUUCGGGGUAAUGGGUUAAAGACGAACCCGUCACACCACUUGAAGCAGAUUAACGGUCCGAUCAUCGCCUACCCCCCCAAGGAAGAUAUUCAGUUAGUUAUCGUUGUGUCGUCGCAAAAGCCACAGAAAACCAUCGUGACCCAUGCAACUUAAGGUCCUUGGAACAGUUUAGAAGUUAUGGCUUACCAUCCUGUAAAAAUAUGAAGCUUAAAAUAAAAUGUUUCAAAGGAA